rnacentral:lncRNA from 1 species
CUCAGGGCAUGUGAAUCCUCAAGAGUUUUACCUGUUGAAGGAACCUGGGAGCCAGGCAUUUUUGAGCACUUUUCUAUAGGCUGUGCAUCCCAGACCUUUGUGAGCUGUCUUUUUGCUUGGAGGAGGAAAAAGACCUGUCCAGUCGGUCUUUUUGCUAUUCUACUGUCAGCUGUUUCUCUGCUUUCACAAAGCCUUGAUCCUGAAGUUACCACUGACUUCUGUAAAGAUGGGAGGGAUGUAUUUACAAAGCAAAACUCACAGCUGGCAGGUAUGGGUCUGCAGCUUUCAGGAUCCCACCAGCCAUCCAAGUCCUUCAUCUUCUCUGGACAUGCAAAAUCUUGUAUACUCCCUCAAGGCAAAGGUCCUUAUAUGCACCCUCUUCCCCCGCCCCACCGGCUGACAUGGGAACAGCCUGUGAUAGGCACUGCUACUGGAUGCUAUUGUACCCAAAUGGUGUCGGUAUAUGAGAAAAGCAAGGCCUACACAACUUCUGUUUUUCCCAGCUUUACAUAUUAG